rnacentral:pre_miRNA from 1 species
CAUCUACUCCCUUCGUUCCAUAAUUCUUGUCCAAAAUUUGUCCAAAAGUGAAUGUAUCUAUUCGUAAAAGUCGUCUAGAUACAUGUAAUAUUUCGACAAAAUUAUGGAACGGAGGGGGUAGUAA